rnacentral:rRNA from 1 species
UACGUAGGGGGCAAGCGUUGUCCGGAAUCAUUGGGCGUAAAGAGCGUGUAGGCGGCCCGAUAAGUCCGCUGUGAAAGUCCAGGGCUCAACCCUGGGAUGCCGGUGGAUACUGUCGGGCUCGAGUCCGGAAGAGGAGUGUGGAAUUCCCGGUGUAGCGGUGAAAUGCGCAGAUAUCGGGAAGAACACCCGUGGCGAAGGCGGCUCUCUGGGACGGUACUGACGCUGAGACGCGAAAGCGUGGGGAGCAAACAGG